GACGAACGCUGGCGGCGUGCUUAACACAUGCAAGUCGAACGAGGUCCACCGCGUAGCAAUACAAGGGAAGACCUAGUGGCGAACGGGUGCGUAACACGUGAGGAACUUGUCCCGGUCUCUGGGAUAACAGUUGGAAACGACUGCUAAUACCGGAUGACGUCGGAAUCUCGCAUGGGAUACUGACGAAAGGGUUACUGGAUCGGGAGAGCCUCGCGGCCUAUCAGCUUGUUGGUGAGGUAACGGCUCACCAAGGCAUCGACGGGUAGCUGGUCUGAGAGGAUGAUCAGCCACACUGGGACUGAGACACGGCCCAGACUCCUACGGGAGGCAGCAGUGGGGAAUCUUGCGCAAUGGGCGAAAGCCUGACGCAGCAACGCCGCGUGCGGGAAGAAGGCCCUCGGGUUGUAAACCG
rnacentral:rRNA from 1 species